ACGUUUCUUCUUCUUCUUCCUUUA
rnacentral:sRNA from 1 species